rnacentral:sRNA from 1 species
AUGGAUAACUUUUAUGUUUAUGGGUCUUCAUUGGGUUGCCUGAAUUUUCAGCCCUAUACUAGUUGCAAUCUCAACUUUCCACCCUAAACUUUUAGCCACUUCAAAAACCACCAUAAAAAACUUUGUUCUCGAUAAAACUACACGUACUUUCAGAUUUGUUCUAAAAACUACGCCUCCAAUUGAACCGAUCUGUUAAACGAUAAUUAUACAUCUGGUUUGUUUUACCCAGAAUUUAACCAAAAGUAAUUCGAUUUUGACUCUAUUUUAACCCAAUUUUGACCUA